rnacentral:rRNA from 1 species
UACGAAGGGGACUAGCGUUGCUCGGAAUCACUGGGCGUAAAGCGCACGUAGGCGGAUCUUUAAGUCAGGGGUGAAAUCCUGGAGCUCAACUCCAGAACUGCCUUUGAUACUGAGGAUCUUGAGUCCGGGAGAGGUGAGUGGAACUCCGAGUGUAGAGGUGAAAUUCGUAGAUAUUCGGAAGAACACCAGUGGCGAAGGCGGCUCACUGGCCCGGUACUGACGCUGAGGUGCGAAAGCGUGGGGAGCAAACAGG